rnacentral:tRNA from 1 species
GGGGUUGUGGCUCAGUGGUUGAGUGCUCACCUAGCAUGUGCGAGACCCUGGGUUCAAUCCUCAGCAACACAU